CCACAUUAACCUUUUGGAGUCUUUACAGUCAACAUCUCUAUAUUUUACUUGUGAAUUUGUAUAAUUGUAUAUAGGCAUGUGCUAGUGUUUCCUGCAAUUGAACAUCGGGAGCGUCGGCUGUGUGGAGCUUUGGAAUUUCUAAUCAAGUUCAAGAUUUGUGAAAUCUGUCAGUCGUCUGCUUUCCAAACAAUCC